rnacentral:rRNA from 1 species
UACGAAUCGUGCGAACGUUGUUCGGAAUCACUGGGCUUAAAGGGCGCGUAGGCUGCCAUCUAAGUCAGAGGUGAAAUCCCAUAGCUUAACUAUGGAAGGGCCUUUGAUACUGGAUGGCUCGAGGGAGGUAGGGGCAGAUGGAACUUCCGGUGGAGCGGUGAAAUGUGUUGAUAUCGGAAGGAACGCCGGUGGCGAAAGCGAUCUGCUGGACCUCUACUGACGCUGAGGCGCGAAAGCCAGGGGAGCAAACGGG